AAAUGCUGUUUUUCUCUCAAAACAGCAGAAGUUUGAGUGGUUUGGGGAGAAAUAUUUUCAGAUUCAACCGUUCUUUUGUGUCUUUCAGUAUCACUAGAAGUUUAAGAGCUCGUGAAACAUUUUGGACCUCUAUUGGGAUUGUAAGGAGACUGACAGCCUUCACGCCUCAAGCUGCACUUUUCCGCUCCAGAACUAUGGCAGAGAGCAUGCCGGAUACCGGCUCCUCCAACGUGAUCCACAAUCCAAAAGAUGACAUGCAGGACCAGAGCAACGUUUCAGCGGCGUCUGCAGCAGUCAAAGUGAGACCCACAGACCUGGGCCUGACUCGAAGCUUAUCAAAGUCAGACUCCGACUUAUUGGCACCGCCGAGCGGGGAGGAGGAUGGAGGCCUGACAAACCACAGCGGAUCUGUGUCUAACUGCAGGUCCGGGCAGCCGUCCAUGCAGCGCAUGCCCUCCUUUACAUCUGAGUGGGCUGAGAUUGAGAAGAUCAUGACGUUGAUCGGAGCGGGCAUCGAGACUUCCAAAACCGAACAGCUGACAACAAACUCAGAUGGGGCCUGUGGUAAAGCCCUGGACCAGCCGGUGGGAGAGUGGCUGGAGCACGUGGGGCUGCCGCAAUACGAGAGCAAGUUCCUGCUUAAUGGCUUUGACGACCUACGAUUCAUGGGAAGUAACGUGAUGGAGGACCAAGAUCUGAGGGACAUGGGGAUCACUGACCCAGGACACAGGAAGAAAAUCCUCCAUGCAGCACGCGGCCUGCCCAAGGUGAAACCGCUCGGUUGUGACGGCAGCACCUCUCUCUCCUCUUGGUUGGACGUCCUUGGCCUGCAUGAAUAUCUGCCCAACUUUCUUUCAAACGGCUACCGGACUCUGGAGUGUGUUAAAAACCUGUGGGAGCUGGAGAUCGUCAAUGUUAUCAAGAUCACCCCUUUAGGUCACAGGAAGAGGAUCAUCGCCUCUCUGGCAGAGAGACCCUACGAAGAGGCUCCCUCCAAAUCCCGUCGAAUGUCCCCAAUUAUGUUCCACGACCUCCUGUCACAGACCACGUCACCCCUCGGUCAGAUGGACCCUUACACCAGUCGCUCCAUGGACAUGCUGCUCCCACUGACCGAGUCGGACCGGAGGCGAAGAGGAGUCGACCAGGACUGCAGCGUUUCUCUGCGGUCUUAUAACGAGAGGCCGCGUUCUGUAGAUAGACACAGCGAUCGACACAAGGAGUCUCGUUUGAACCUCCGGCCGCCGAGCCACUCUGCCACGUACGCCACGGUGUCCGCCUGGCAUCACCAGCCUGAGAAACUCAUCCUGGACUCCUGCAGGUACGAGGCAACAUACCUGGGGUCAAUGAUAAUCAGGGAUCUACGAGGAAUCGAAUCCACACAAGAUGCCUGCGCUAAAAUUAGGAAAUCAAAGGACUCAAAAAAGGGUCCAGUUGUCAUUCUUGCCGUCACCUAUAGAGGUGUCAGGUUCAUUGAUGCAGCCACAAAGACCAUCGUUGCAGAGCAUGAAAUCAGAAACAUCUCAUGUGCAGCCCAGGACCCAGAUGACCUGUGCACGUUUGCUUACAUCACCAAGGAUUCGAAGAGCGGCCAUCACUUUUGUCACGUCUUCAGCACCGUGGAAGUGAUACAGACCUACGAGAUCAUCCUCACGCUGGGGCAGGCAUUCGAAGUGGCGUACCAAAUGGCAGUUCAGUCCAGGGCGAGGCAGUAUGUGCCCCCGUCCUCUCUGGUCUCGGAGUUUGUAGACACCAAAAGCACCCGUCCCGUCUCUCAGUCAUGGAGCAGCGUGAGAAGAUCGGCGGGUGCCCCUCUGCUCGAAUGCCGCUGCUGUCACUGUCACACGUGUACUACCCACCGUCCUUCCUUCUUACCGUUGCACUCUGUUAGCCCUGGAAUCCAGAUCGACCCCCUGGAGAUGGAUGCUGACAUGCAGUCCCUGGGCAGCACCACCUGGCUCUGCGACCAGCGGGACUCCAACAGGCGUCCCGUCAGCACCAAGUACGAGACCACCAUAUUCUGAGGCCGGAUCCCCACAGCCGCCCCCACUGCACCCCCUUCGUACUUUCCUCUACCCUUGCAUCCGGCUCUCUCUAUUCAUGUCUUUCUCUCACAGACACACACACACACACACACACACACACACACACACACACACACACACACACACACACACACACACACACACACACACACACACACACACACACACACACACACACACACAUACUCAUGUGAGCCCCGUGCCUUCUCACUGUGAUGGUAUAGCAUCCCUCAGGGCUGCCUACUCCUGCACCUUCCUUUGCCCUGCCCAGCGACCCACACCAACCUCAUGCCAUGACAAACGCUCCUGCAGCUCUUCGGAGCUCCCCCAGCGUCCCUGGCAGCCUCCCUCGCCUGUUGCUGCUGCAGCCAAUAGCGGAGCCCUGGAACGGAUGAUCCUGGACUGAUCUCAUUUUACAGUGGUCCUGCCCUCUCAACCAAACUGCCUCUUCCUCCUCAUCCUCCUCUUCCUGACAACUUGCAUCUGCCUCCAAAUCCCCGAUUGCUCCCAGAGUCUAUCCUGCCUUACCAGGCAUCUACCACUGUGAGGCACUAUGAGGAGGCUGUUUUGCUAGCAAAGGGAUGCAAGAUGGACAAUAAAUCAAUGAAAGACAAAACAGCAACAUGCAGCAAACAACAUUUUUUUACUCAUUUGUACAGUACUCAUAGUGAAACCACUUUGGAUCGGUCACUAACCUGUCACUGAUGUCUAAACACAAAGCAGACCGAGAACUGAGAUACACUUGAGGACGACUUUCCUACACGUUAUUGAGGAUGACAGCCUUACAUCAUUGCAAUUAUCUAUAAUCAACAACAACAAAAAUCCUAUCUGCCCCUAAUGAACUCCACCAACUGCACGUGUCCAACCUGCUUCUAAAAGACUACAACAAAAGAUUUCCUGGUGUAUCAGAGUGGCUGAAAGGAUGUUGGUUUAACGAUGGUUUAGGAUUGUUCUGAUGAGUCUUUGCUCUGGCCUUGUGCUGCCCAGUGCCUGUCAGCAUUAACGGUAGCGCCGAGAGCCUGCAAGUCCUCUUUUUAUCCAUUAUAGGGAAACAGCACUGUGGCUCAGAAAAGAAAAAAAAACAGCACUGUCCCUUUUCAAACGCUGUUUUCAUACAGUGCAAAGGAGAUAUUGCAUUUUGUGAUACUUUUUGAUAGAAGGGAGCAACCUGAACCACUUUGGGGCAGACUGGUUAGGAACUGAUUAUAGUUAUUCCAACUUUAUUACAACCAGAAGUUUAAAAAUACACAAAAAAGUGAACAAAAGGAAUAUAUUGACAUCAGUUCCAUGUUUCACUUACGUUUGUAUCCUACACCUGAACACGAUUAUUUUAACUAAAGUGUAUUAACGAGCCUCCAGCACAGUUUGGUGCACAUUCCCGCUGUAGCAUGAUUACAUACACAUUACACAGAUUUAGAAUUAGGUGUGAAGUACGCCACUUCAAAAGAAUGACUGAAAAGAUUUAAUUCCACCUCACUGGAAAAGCCAGAUCUGAGCGUUGUUCCUGUGCCAUGCUCAUGUGACAUUUUUGUUGUUUAUUUUUAAAUAAUCAUUUUUAAAAGUAUUUUCCUCCUGCACUGUGAUUCAAAAAUGCUUUAUGUGGAGUCCAACACAUACGUGUGUGUGUGUGUGUUCUCCCUCCUGUGCACUACCUGGCGUGCGUGCUGUAUGCUUUGUUUGUCUGUCCUCGUGGAAGUUUGGACUGUUACGCCGCCGGCCGCUGUCCUCGUCUGUGUUUGCUGCAGGAGGAGUUGGGGACCGAGCUCCUCUCCAAAGACAGUGUGUCUGUAGACUGUUUAGACGUACUGCUCUGUGGCCGUGUCAUCGCCACUGCUCUGACUUUUAUCUGUUAGCUUCCACCGAUGAUGCAUGUUGGCAGUUUUUUUGUGUUUCUGUCCCCUCUGAUGCACUCGGCCUGAGCAGUCUCCCCAGCAGCGUCUCCUCUCACUCAUCUGCCAUUUGCCUUUUAUGUUUCCUCUCUCUGUUUACAUGCUAAUUCUCCCGUUCACCCCCCAUCCCAUCCGUUCGGCCAUUGUUCUUACCGCCAACAUUUUGUCACAUUCCUCCAUUUUGUGUGUCACCAGGAGAACCUGCUCUAGUAUGGAUGCAUAAUAUAAAAGCAUUACAUUUUUAAUGAACAGCAGCUAUUUAAAGCAAGUUUUUUGGUGGCAUGUUACGACUGUGCAUGUACCAGUCUUUUUUAACAUCCGUGUUUUCCUUGUGUAGCUCACCCCGACGUUCAAGUUUCCGGAUACCAAGCUGUGAGUUGAAGGGGAGCAGCCGAGUCGAGCGUGUGUUUGUGUAAUUUUAAGUUAGUGUGUAAAGAAGAGGAAACAUCACAUAAAUAAAGAUUUAAAAAAAGGCAGAGAGAGAGAGAGAGAGGGACUGUGAGGUAAGCUUGUGCGGCGUGCAGGGCCAACCAGCACUUCUGACAUUUAAAUCUCACUCUGUCUAUGUUUUUGCUCCUUCACUGAUCCUGAGAUGAAUCCACUCACAGUCCAAAGAUAACUUGUGGUCCCACUUCACUGACUAGACUGGACCUGUAUAUCACUCCUGUCUUGAGAAAAGGUCAAACAGAAAGGUCAGGUCUAUUUCCCCGGCCUUCACGUGAGCUUGUCAUGUAGGAGGUGUUGUGUGUAGACCACUAUAGACCCUUACUAAUAUAAAAUCAUUAACAAGCAUUUCUAUUGAUUCAGGUCUACUGAAAACGGAAACAGUGUGAUGUGCUGAAGGGUAACAAAAUGUACCAGCAUUCAAUACUUUGCCCACAUUUGUGGACGGAGAAAAUUUGUGAUGGAAAAAUGUGAUACUGUUUCAAAACUUCAAAGCAAUAUUAUAUUAAUGACAUUAAAUAAUACAAAGACAAAACAAUCCCUGUCAUAUCUGGUGUCAGCAUUGAUUUACUUUACAUGGCUGAGCAGUUAAAAACAGACAUAUUACACCAGCUGCUUGAAAUCAAAAGUGACAUAAUGGGACGGUAAUUAUUGUAGAAUUGUGCUUUCAUUGUUUCUCCCGCUGCACAGAUUAGUGGGUGGUGCAACUUCUAAUCCAAACAAACGAUUAGCCCAGUUUGUGCUUCUCAUGCGCUUUACUACUUUCAAGUUGUCGAGCCCAAGUGGAUGUUUCAGAAACACGGUGCAGCGCCGCUGCACAGAACGCUCAACCUAAAAUCUAAAGGGGAUUUCCAACGAGCUCGUCUACAGCAGGUAGCAGGAAGAGAUCCAUGCCGAUUAGUUCUGAUGCAUUACUUUUUUAUAUAUAUAUAUAUAUUAUAAACACAAUGUUACUUUGUGUUUUCCUUGUGCUGUACUAAAACUGUAAAAAUGAGUAUUUUUGAGUACCUAAACCAUUUAAACCUGAGGUGCAAACUGGGUAUUUAAGGAUCCAUGAGAUUAUUCAAAAACAAGUGGGUUUUUAGGCUUUCUGAACAUUUACCUUCUAGUUAAUGUGCAGCUUUCAUCCCAAGUCACACACAGCAAGAUGGAUUCAUUCAUUAUUUACACAAUGUAGCUGAUUUACAUAAUUAAAUCCUGAAACUAAAUCGUCCUAAAAUUAUAUUACAGUUCUAAAAGUGUCUUUCUUCAACUUAAAGUGGUCUACAGGUGAAUAUUAUUUAUUAAUAUGAUUAAACUCAUGAUUAACUCAUUCACUGCCAUUGACGACUAAAAUUGUCAUUUUAGAUCCAACCGUUCACUGCCAAUGACGACUAAAGUCGCCAUUUGCAUGUUUUUACUGUUUGAGCGUCAGGACGAGCCCCCGCGCUGAGAGAACAAACAUCUCAGCCCUGAAGCCGAUCUUCAUCCGCAUACGUCACACGUCACGUGAUCAGGAAGCAGACCAUCCAUGUGUUAGGUGAUCGUUUUGGGCCGUUCCUGUAAAAAAAGUGAGGCGCGAACCGGAAAAGCAUCUGCCGAUCACAAUUCGACAACAGAUUAUGAAAGAACGGAUAACGCUCGAAACACAGAUGUAAGAGGUGAGUCUCCUCUUUGUUUUGGUUGUUUUGGCGUCGACAUAAUUAGAGGGUGCAAUGUUCUGCAUUGCAUUCCGGUUUUACUGUUUAAAAAAACAGUAAAACCGGUGAGAAACGCUGGCAGCGAAGGCCGUUAGCGAUCAGGAAACGGCUGGCAGUGAAUGAGUUAAGUUAUGAUUGUUUAGUGUUAUUGCUAAAAUCAAGCAAAGUUUAAUUAAAAAUGAAAUCUGGGGUAAAAAGAACAUACAUUAAAUGGUAGGAUUAGAGAUGUUCUUACCGUUCGCCAGGCGUGCAGAUAGGGUGGGGGACUGGGGGAAUCUGUCCCCCACAGAUUCAGAUCGACCCCGAUCCGUCCCCCGCACUAAGGCCAGAAAGAAAACAAAAUCGGAGGUUAUAAGCGCUUGAAGCUCCUUUUUCCAAUUACAAUAAAUGCAGCAUGAUGUAAACAAACACUAAGUCCAGAGGAGCCAAAGUGGUUGCUGCUGGGAUGCAGGAUGAAGCGAAAAAGACAAGCAACAAUUACUGCGUAUUUAAAAAAGACCAACAGUGUAAGUAGGCGGCACCGAUCUGUCUGUUUAUGCGUGUUGGUUCUUCAGUACGUUGUUAUCAGUGCUGGGACUUACUCGUUAAAAAUGCCAAAGCCUCAUUGCUGACUUUAACAAGUCUCAUCUACAAAUAUGAUCCCUCAUGAAGUUACUACUUUACACCAGAAGAUAGUGGAGAUGUGCAAUCUUCAGGCUGAGCAAAGUUUUGGAGCUUGAAAAACGCCUCCCGCUGACAAGUUAACAGUCAGAAAGAGGAGGAGAUGCUCGCAACAUGAAGAGCGCAUAUAUUAGAUAAAACGUAUAAUUGCCAGCAGAUCUGGUCUUUGUUGACUGAUCACUUUGUCUGGUAAUGACUGACUCUGAUUAUGAAGCAGAAUAUUGACUCUGAUGAAGAAAUUCACUCAUCCAGCCGGGAAGAUUGAUGCUGCUGCAGCAUCAGACAGCUGGUGCUGCACGAGAGGUGUGUGGAGUUUACAAGCUCCAAACUUUGGGUUUGAUGUUGGUUUAACCUUCUUUGGGACGUGAUGGAUGUAGAAAUGAUGGUAAAAACACCGCUAAUGUGACAGACGUAGCGACAAUGUAAAAAAAAGCCGUAAAAAAGAGGACAUGCCAAUGCGUUAGAUAUGGAAGUCAAAAUGUGCCACAUAAUCAUAAAAAAGUCGAAUAUAACAUUUAAAAAGAGCUUUAUAUAUUUAUAUAUAAAUUAAAACUUUCCAAAUAUAAUGAAAAUUUCUAAAUAACGUAAAAAUAAGAAGGAACAUCUGUUGGUCAGAGGCUGAAAAGUUUGGGAACCACUGCUUUAAGUGACAAGUGAAUAUUGUUUUUUAAAUAUAUUUUAUGUGCAGUAUUUUAGGGCUUUUAUGUUUUCUGUAAAGAUUGGUUUGCUGAAAAUCAUUUAAUGUUUUGCAUAAAGCAUGAGGUUUUGGUUAGUAAUCGAUUGGGAGAAUAACAAAUGACUGUGUUGAUCAGGCAGAGCUUUGAUGCCAGCGUUCCAUUGCAUAAUGGCUUCUAACACGUAUAUAAUAGUGUUAGUUUUUUUCGUAAACCAUUGGAGGAAACUACACAAACUGACUGAGCUCUAGUUAAGGCUCUCGCAAUGGUUUGUGUAUGUGUACGUGCGUCGUGCGUGUGUGUGUAUGUGCUUGGGGGAGGGUACAUUGGAACUUUGACCCCCCAGUUUGAAAAUCCUAUCUGCGCCCCUGCCGUUCCCGCUACUUUUUAAAAACACCAACUCCGUUUCUUCAGACUUCAGGAACAUGGUUCUUGUUCACAAGGCUUCCCUUAUACAUUUUUCAUCCGUUGUCGGCACGUAUCUGACGUAAUUCCUAACAUUUAUUUGAACGUACUUAAAGUAUCUUUCCGGAGUAUUUCUCUUAUCCGAUGGAUUUCUAAAAAUCAUGUAAUUGCUGAAAGGGUGAAACUCCGGAUUGUUGAUUUAACCGUAAAAUAUUUAAGUAUGUUAGCUAAUAUAGUGAAGCAUUCUUAUGGUGAAAAAUUAGGCAGUUUUUAGCUGUCUUGGUAAUAAACCAACAGGUUAGGUUAUUCUCAUCUUCGCUGCUCAGCGUCUCCAACAAUCUGAGAAAAUCACACAACAACAGGCCAAAACUUUCAGAACCCGCACUGAACCACCUGAUUGGCUCUCCUUUCUCAGAUGGCAGGUCAACAGGUCAGUCACCUAAAGGUUUCCCAACAAGAACAGAACCAGACUCUAAACAGAACAUGUGCAACAAAUCCUUUGGUCCAUUACACUUGGCAGCUCAGCCCUGGCUUCACUUCCUUUUCAGCUGCUCCGCAUCGAGAAUGUGCGUUACGUGCACCCAGAGGAGUACGCACAGAGGGAGUAGAGAAGGUCAGAGGGCAGUUGGUGGAUGGAUCAGGAUGCAACUAUUAAGUACGAGACAUUUACAAUUGCUCCAGAAAAACACCGCCUCGCCCACCUUUAAUGGCAAAAAGAUAAAUGAUUUUUAACUUUAAAACAAAAACAGUAUAGAAAAUAUAAAUAAAAGCUGGAAUUCAACACAUUAAACAAUAUUCGCCUGUGCAUGAACUGGAGGGGAUAAUGGUUUAAACCUGUGCAGAAAAACAAAAAUCCUUUUUGUUCCAGAAAAAAACUAAACAUAAACCUUUUGUUUAUCUCUGUCUGCUCGAUUGUUUCAAAUUUAAAAAAAAAUUAAAAUAACCAGAAAAAUUGUUUUUAGCUUAAAAAAUAAGUGACAAACAAAACAACACGUUUCUUCACCAUAUCAGUAAUUUAACAACAAAACACAUAAAUCCAGGGUGCUACACAUGUCCAUCAUAAUGGUUAGUUUCACUGACUGCCGAGUUCGUCUCAUGUAUUUUCAUUUGUUUGCUCUGUAAUCUGUGCUAUUUAUAUGGUUGUAUGGAAUAUUAAAAGGAUUCACUUUGCUUUUUGUUCACAAACAGAACACUGUGUAGCUCCGCACCCCCGUCUAACUUUAACCACAGGAGGAAACACACCUGUUACAUGUUUUGGGUUUUAAGCAAAAGGUGCAAAUAAAGACGAGUAAAGUAAAAUGAAUAAAAUGUGCUUAAUGUCUUUGAUCGACCAGAAACAUUCAACCCAGCUUCACGGGACAGAUUAAUAUAAAGAAUUAUUUACAAACAUCUUUUAUUUGGUUCUUGUUUUCUAAUGUUUUGGUCUUUUCUCAUGUUUACGUGAGAUUUUCGCUCCAUAAUCUUAAUGUUUUGUGUACACAGAUUUGAGGGUUAACUGCCUUAUGCUUUCACCUGGACGAUAAGUCCUGAUGUCCUUUCUGGUUCUGAAACUGUAAAUGCUAAUUAAACACUAGAAAAUGAACUAAA